UACCGGCGGCUCGAGUGGUGGCCACUAUUACUGGGCUUAAAGCGUCCGUAGCUUGGUUGUUAAGUCUCCUGGGAAAUCCAUCGGCUCAACCGAUGGGCGUUCAGGAGAUACUGGCAACCUAGGGACCGGGAGAGGUGAGAGGUACUCCAGGGGUAGGAGUGAAAUCCUGUAAUCCUUGGGGGACCACCUGUGGCGAAGGCGUCUCACUAGAACGGCUCCGACAGUGAGGGACGAAAGCUGGGGGAGCAAACCGGAUUAGAAACCCUCGUAGUCC
rnacentral:rRNA from 1 species